rnacentral:rRNA from 1 species
CCUACGGGGGGCUGCAGUGGGGAAUCUUGGACAAUGGGCGAAAGCCUGAUCCAGCCAUGCCGCGUGUGUGAAGAAGGCCUUCGGGUUGUAAAGCACUUUCAGUGGGGAAGAAAGCCUGGGGGCUAAUACCCUCGAGGAAGGACAUCACCCACAGAAGAAGCACCGGCUAACUCCGUGCCAGCAGCCGCGGUAAUACGGAGGGUGCGAGCGUUAAUCGGAAUUACUGGGCGUAAAGCGCGCGUAGGCGGUCUGAUAAGCCGGUUGUGAAAGCCCCGGGCUCAACCUGGGAACGGCAUCCGGAACUGUCAGGCUAGAGUGCAGGAGAGGAAGGUAGAAUUCCCGGUGUAGCGGGGAAAUGCGGAGAGAUCGGGAGGAAUACCAGUGGCGAAGGCGGCCUUCUGGACUGACACUGACGCUGAGGUGCGAAAGCGUGGGUAGCAAACAGGAUUAGAUACCCUAGUAGUC